AAAAAAAAAUUUAAAAAUAGAAAAAAUCUUACAGAAUAAGGAUACAAAGAAAAAAUGUUUUUGUGUAGCUGUGUAAUGUUUUUAAGUUAAAUGUUACAAAAGAGUCAGAGUUAAAUUUUUGUAUGUUUAUAAAGUGAAAAGUUAUAAAAUGCUAAGGUUAAUUUACUGAAGAAAGAAAAAAUUUUAAAAUAGAUUUAGAGUAGCAUGUUUAUAAAAUCUACAGUAGUACACAGUAAUAUCUUAGGCCUUCACAUUAACUCACCACUCACCCACUGACUCACCCAGAGCAGCUUCCAGUCCUGCAAGCUCCAUUCGUGGUAAGUGCCCUAUACAGGUGUACUGUUUUUAUUGUCCUUUAUACGAUUUUUACUGAACCUUUUCUAUCUUUUAGAUACACAGAUACCAUUGUGUUACAGUUGCCUAUGAUAUUGAAUACAGUAACUUACUAAACAGGUUUGUAGCUCAGGAGCUGUAUCAUAUAGCCUGGGUGUGUAGUGAACUAUACCAUCUAGGCUUGUGUAAGUAUAUUAUAUGAUACGGUGAUGAAAUCACCCAGAUGCAGUUUCUCUUAAGCAACACAUAACUGUAGAUAUAUAGGUGGCUUGAAUAAUAAAAUAAUGAAAUGUAUUUUUUUCUGUCAUUGACAAAACAUUACCAAUCUUACAAAUUAGACCAACUACAAAACAAAAUCUCACUCGAAAAUAAAAAUAUAUGUCCCAUUUCUUGAUUACAAUUCAUUAGAACUGGAAUUUUUUUAAUGUUUAAAUUUAUAUGGAAAUAUAAAAUCAUGUUUUAAGUAAUUUUUGAUUCAAUGAGGAAAUGUAAAUUACAUUAGAAAUUGAUUAAUAACAAGUAGAGAUUUAUAAAGGCAAAAAUGUUAAUGAAUUAGGAAACAGUAAACCAUUUGAACUAAUAAAUCUAAAUACUGAUUACCUGAAAAUGCCAAUAAAAUCAAUACAUAUUUUUAAAAGCCAGUCAAGGAUAAAAGAAAAGAGGGAAACUAAAAAUGAGACAUUAAGUACGAGAAAGGAGAUAAAACUACAGUGUAGAGGUGAUGUUAAAAAUUAUAUUCAGGUCUGUGCUAAUCAUUUUGGAAAUUUCAAUGAGAAAUGGGCAAUUUUCAGUGAAUAUGUCAUUGUAAAUGCUUUAAGGAGAGAGACAAAAUCUGAAUAGACCCUGCAAUAAUGAAAAUGUCUAGGAGCCCUCAAGAAAUAACCUGGUUUAAAUUGCAUUUCAGGUGGCUGCUUAUCAAACCUUGAAGUGUCAAGUAAUUAUGUUAUCUAAAUUGGACCAGGUGCUAGAAAAUAUGUCAGACUUCACAGGUGGCUGCUUAUGUAGCCCUUAUACCUUAAUCUGAUAAAGGUAGCAUAUAUUUAAAAAGAAAACCAGAAGGUACAGUUUAGGGAAAAUUAAAUAUUUCUAUUUGGCCAAAGUAAGAGUACAUUCAAGGGAAUUGUGAGAGGUAAGAAUGGAAAAAGAGGUUGGAGCUGUAUUUUUAUGCUGUGAUUGAAUUAUAGUGUGUGAUAAAUUGCUCUUGUUUGGGUAGAAUACCAUUUUACAUUUUGAAUUAAUUGGUAAUUGGAUUAAUCUUAACUUCAAAAAAAAUUAAUCUAAGAGUGGUAUAAAGGAUAGAUUACAGAAUGGAUAAAGGGCGAUAAAUCAGUUGGCUAUGGCGGAAUUGCAGGAAGAAACUGAAAUAGGCCACAGAAAACUGAAACUGACAUUUUGAGUAGUAUUUUGAAAUCAAGAUCUGGAUUUUGGCAGCUGAGUAGAUGCAUAGGAAUCAAAGAUGAGUAUACUAAGUGAACUUAAUCUAUGAUUUGUCUCAUUUUAUUGUGUACCAUUAGUGUGUAUCCAUGUAUGUAUGUGCCAGGUAGUUAAUAUGCUGACUGUGUCUCUUAGCUCCCCUCUGCUGCCUGGACCUUUGCCACAGUGCUAGAGUUCCCUCACUUCUCUUUUCUAUAACCCUAUGAUACUACUGCUGUCUCUCAACUGUGUUUCCUUCCUCAAGCAGAAAGAAGAUGGCAGGAUCAUAUUGUAGUUGACUAGAAGCUGUGGAGUUUGAGUGCUGGGAUUAUAUCUAGUUCCAUUACUUAUGAAGAUAUAUGACUUUACCUCAUCUAUAAAAUGGUUUACCAAUAGUACCUACCUUACAUGGUUUUAUGAAUAUUAAAUUAUGUAUUUCUAAAGAGAUUUAGAACAAUACAAAGAAUAUGGUAUGGGCUCAGUAAGUGGUGGUGGUGUUAGUUAUUAGAAGGCCAUCAAGUGCUGGAGAAAAUAGUGAAUAUGAUUGAUGGAAAUAAGGGGGGUUUUCCAAGUUAAAAAGCUUCAGUUUUUGGAAAUGUGUGUUGUAAGUAUUUCUGAGAUUACCAGGUAGAAAUUCCAGCCAGAUGUUGGAAUUCUGCACUGGCAGUUGGGAAUAAAGUCAUGUUGAAGGAGAUAAGUUUUGGAGUUAUUGUGUAAAAUUGGUAAAGCACUGGAAUAGAUUGGAUUGACAGAGGGGAGACUCUUUUGAGAUAGGCCUAUAUUUAGGGACAAGAGAAGGGACAACCAAUAAGGGUUGAAAGAAACCUUAAGAGAGUAAGUCCUAUGACAGAAGCAGGGAAGUUUCAGAAUGGAUGCAGAAAGAUCAGCCAGGCUCUUCCUGUUCUCCAUCGUGGUGCGGCAUCAAGGUGAAAAGGAUAACACCAUGCAGGAACUUUGCAUCUACAGGCUCUGCUUCAACAUCUGUUUAGGAGAAAGUGGAGACAGAUUGACCUGAGUAACUAAGGUGUUGGAGCAGCUUACAGGUCAGACAUGGGGUUUUCCAAAGCUAGAUAAUACUGUUAGCCCUUUUGGCAAUAGAAGAAAUUAAAAGACUGUUGUCUGCUGCACAGUUCAAGAGGCCAAGGCAGAUGAAAUCUUGGAGAAUGGUCUAAAGGUGCAUGAGUGUGAGUUAAGAAAAAAUACCUUCUCAGAUACUGGAAACUUUGGUUUUGGGACCCAGGAACACAUUGAUCUAGGUAUCAAAUAUGACCCAAGCAUUGGUGUCUACAGCCUGGACUUCUAUGAGGUGCUGGAAAAGCCAAGUUUCAUCAUGGCAGAUAAGAAGUGCAGGACAGGCUGCAGUGGUGCCAAAUAGAAUCAGCAAAGAGUAGGCCGUGCACUGGUUCCAGCAAAAGUAUGAUGGGAUCAUCCUUCCUGGCAAAUAAAUUCUCAUUUCUACCCAAAAGGCCAAUAAAAAGUUUUCAGUGAAAUGUUUAAAAAAAAAAGAUCAGCCAGCAGCCAGUAGGGUAUCAAUUG